rnacentral:rRNA from 1 species
UCCGUAGGUGAACCUGCGGAAGGAUCAUUACCUAGAGUUGUAGGCUUUGCCUGCUAUCUCUUACCCAUGUCUUUUAAGUACCUUACGUUUCCUCGGCGGGUCCGCCCGCCGAUUGGACAAUUUAAACCAUUUGCAGUUGCAAUCAGCGUCUGAAAAAACUUAAUAGUUACAACUUUCAACAACGGAUCUCUUGGUUCUGGCAUCGAUGAAGAACGCAGCGAAAUGCGAUAAGUAGUGUGAAUUGCAGAAUUCAGUGAAUCAUCGAAUCUUUGAACGCACAUUGCGCCCCUUGGUAUUCCAUGGGGCAUGCCUGUUCGAGCGUCAUUUGUACCUUCAAGCUCUGCUUGGUGUUGGGUGUUUGUCUCGCCUCUGCGUGUAGCCUCGCCUCAAAACAAUUGGCAGCCGGCGUAUUGAUUUCGGAGCGCAGUACAUCUCGCGCUUUGCACUCAUAACGACGACGUCCAAAAGUACAUUUUUACACUCUUGACCUCGGAUCAGGUAGGGAUACCCGCUGAACUUAAGCAUAUCAAUAAGCGGAGGAA